rnacentral:other from 1 species
GUUGUUCUACCGUGUUCGUGAUGGUUAAUUAAGUUUUGACCAACACCAACACAAAGGGAACCUGGACUCUAUCUGCGGCGCAUAAGCCUUUUAAAAGGAAAUGCAAACCGGAUAGGAGGGUACCCACCUGGAAGACAGGGAUCAAACUGUAUAAUCACACGGCAUGGUGGAACAUUA